GAAGACUAAAUGGCCUUGCUUCUCCUUACCUUCUCUAAAAUCAAAGGAGCACUGGCGGCCAAGAGCUGGCCUCUGCACCUCUGACGGGUAAGGGGGCCCUCGGGGAGCACAGGUCUCCCAAAGCCCUUUACCAGUGCUGGGGCCAGGAGUCAGCUGCAGGUCAUGUCAAUGCCAAGCCAAGGGCUUUCUCCACCCCCUUUCUCUGGUAAAGUUGACACCAGAAAACUAGACUCUAUGUUCAACUUGAACCCCAGGCAGAGGCUUAAUCUCUAGUUGUUGGAAGAAAAUUCUAACCUUCCUUUUGAGCUCCCACACCUAGCAUGGGGCUGUGCAGGAAGAAGGUAGCUUCUCCUUGCUCCCUUCCCACCCACCAGGAGUUCUUUUUUUGACCUGUGAAAGAUUCACUGGAUUCCUUCAUUUCUUGGCUGGUUUUCCAUGUGGGAAGCCAAAGGGGCCUUCCCAGUGAGCUGGAUCUGGGCGCGUUCUAGGCCACACUGUCUCCUGACACCCCACGGGGUCCCCGCUCCUUACUGCAUCCCACUCUGGGACGGUGUGCUGGGAACAGGCUCGCACCUGGAGCUCCAGCAUUUCCCCGAAGCGGCUGGAGGAGCAGGCGGC
rnacentral:lncRNA from 1 species